GACGAACGCUGGCGGCGUGCUUAACACAUGCAAGUCGAACGGAAAGGCCCUGCCUUUGUGGGGUGCUCGAGUGGCGAACGGGUGAGUAACACGUGAGUAACCUGCCCUUGACUUUGGGAUAAGUUCAGGAAACUGGGGCUAAUACCGGAUAGGAGCUCCUGCUGCAUGGUGGGGGGUGGAAAGUUUCGGCGGUUGGGGAUGGACUCGCGGCUUAUCAGCUUGUUGGUGGGGUAGUGGCUUACCAAGGCUUUGACGGGUAGCCGGCCUGAGAGGGUGACCGGCCACAUUGGGACUGAGAUACGGCCCAGACUCCUACGGGGGGCAGCAGUGGGGAAUAUUGCACAAUGGGCGGAAGCCUGAUGCAGCAACGCCGCGUGCGGGAUGACGGCCUUCGGGGUGUAAACCGCUUUCGCCUGUGACGAAGCGUGAGUGACGGUAAUGGGUAAAGAAGCACCGGCUAACUACGUG
rnacentral:rRNA from 1 species